GGCUGGAGAGAUGGCUCAGUGGUUAAGAGCACUGGCUGCUUGCUCUUCCAGAGGUCCUGAGUUCAAUUCCCAGCAACCA
rnacentral:tRNA from 1 species